rnacentral:rRNA from 1 species
CACGUAGGGUGCGAGCGUUGUCCGGAAUUAUUGGGCGUAAAGAGCUCGUAGGCGGUGUGUCGCGUCGGCCGUGAAAACUUGCAGCUUAACUGUGAGCUUGCGGUCGAUACGGGCAUCACUAGAGUUCGGCAGGGGAGACUGGAAUUCCUGGUGUAGCGGUGAAAUGCGCAGAUAUCAGGAGGAACACCGGUGGCGAAGGCGGGUCUCUGGGCAACAACUGACGCUGGGGAGCGAAAGCGUGGGGAGCGAACAGG